UACGUAGGGUGCAAGCGUUGUCCGGAAUUAUUGGGCGUAAAGAGCUCGUAGGCGGUUUGUUGCGUCGGCUGUGAAAACCCGGGGCUCAACCCCGGGCCUGCAGCCGAUACGGGCAGACUAGAGUUCGGCAGGGGAGACUGGAAUUCCUGGUGUAGCGGUGAAAUGCGCAGAUAUCAGGAGGAACACCGGUGGCGAAGGCGGCCGACUGGACCACACCUGACGCUGAGGCGCGAAGGCCAGGGGGAGCGAACGGG
rnacentral:rRNA from 1 species